rnacentral:rRNA from 1 species
CAGCCGCCGCGGUAAUACGUAGGUGGCAAGCGUUGUCCGGAAUUAUUGGGCGUAAAGCGCGCGCAGGCGGUCCUUUAAGUCUGAUGUGAAAUCUUGCGGCUCAACCGCAAGCGGCCAUUGGAAACUGGGGGACUUGAGUGCAGGAGAGGGAAGUGGAAUUCCACGUGUAGCGGUGAAAUGCGUAGAGAUGUGGAGGAACACCAGUGGCGAAGGCGGCUUCCUGGCCUGUAACUGACGCUGAGGCGCGAAAGCGUGGGGAGCAAACAGGAUUAGAUCCCCUGGUAGUCCACGCCGUAAACGAUGAGUGCUAAGUGUUAGGGGGUUUCCGCCCCUUAGUGCUGCAGCUAACGCAUUAAGCACUCCGCCUGGGGAGUACGGCCGCAAGGCUGAAACUUAAAGGAAUUGGCGGG